UAAGAAAGACAAGGAAACUGUAAGUCAACAACUGGGGUUUCGUAUUUCUGGGUUGCAGGUUCACAACACAACUGGAUGGUGGAAGCCUGCUAAGAAGUUAGUUCAUGGUUUUGGAAUCGAGGAUGUCAAAUUGACAUUGAAGAAGUUUGUAUCUUCAAAUCCAUGUUCUAACAUGGUGGAACCUGAUUGUCUGUUUGCGUCUACGGUGUAUGGUGGGAUCUUAGAACAUUUAUUGGAGUUGAAAUCAUGGUUUGAGAAUCAGACAACAUUUCAUUUCUGCUCCACAUCGAUCUUGAUGUUCCAUGACAAGGGUUCAGUUGGUGAAGUGAAGCUUGUUGACUUUGCUCAUGUUGUCGAUGGCCAAAGCGUGAUCGAUCACAAUUUCUUGGGAGGAGUCGUUGUCGAGAGAUUUUAUGGCAUGAGCGAGGCUGACGAUCAUAGAUCGAGUCAGAGAGUUAAGGAAUCUCGGCCGGUUUAUCGUGAUCGUGCCGAUUUCUGUAGCUGCAUCUCUAUCGACAAGGAUCGCCAUCGUUUGAUCACCAGGUCGGUUACAGCGACGUUCCAUAAUUUUAUUACAAAUAUAUCCUUCAAAACUUGACUUUAUUACCCAUUCUAAUAACUGGCGUGGAAAGAAAGCUAUGUAACUCAACCCUGGUUAACAUUGCCCACAAAGUGCGCUGGAUAUUUACUUUCCAUAUCCCUCGUUGUCGCCGUCCACCGGCCGGCCCUGCCGAGUACCGAUCCUGUAAUCUCCGGUAGCCUUGGAGCUAGCAUGCUGAAAGCCCCUGUUCAUCAAGUGGCGGGACAUAAAGCGAAUGAAGGGAAGCUAGGUCCACUUGUAGAUGGCUCCGGUCGGUUCUACAAGCCUUUACAGAGUAAUGGUCGCGGUUCUGAAGAGCUUGUUUUCUACAAAUCCUUCUUCUCCGAUCCGACAAUCCCCGAUCGUAUACGCAGCUACUUUCCAGCAUUCUACGGAACCAAAGAAUUGGAAGGAUCCGAUGGUUCUGGAUUGGUUCCCCAUAUGAUUUUAGAAGAUGUUGUUGGAAAUCUGAUCGAUCCAUCUGUUAUCGACAUAAAAAUCGGGGCAAGAACAUGGUAUCCUCAUGCUUCUGCGGAAUACAUAGAGAAGUGUUUUAAGAAAGACAAGGAAACUGUAAGUCAACAACUGGGGUUUCGUAUUUCUGGGUUGCAGGUUCACAACACAACUGGAUGGUGGAAGCCUGCUAAGAAGUUAGUUCAUGGUUUUGGAAUCGAGGAUGUCAAAUUGACAUUGAAGAAGUUUGUAUCUUCAAAUCCAUGUUCUAACAUGGUGGAACCUGAUUGUCUGUUUGCGUCUACGGUGUAUGGUGGGAUCUUAGAACAUUUAUUGGAGUUGAAAUCAUGGUUUGAGAAUCAGACAACAUUUCAUUUCUGCUCCACAUCGAUCUUGAUGUUCCAUGACAAGGGUUCAGUUGGUGAAGUGAAGCUUGUUGACUUUGCUCAUGUUGUCGAUGGCCAAAGCGUGAUCGAUCACAAUUUCUUGGGAGGUCUCUGUUCUCUGAUUAAGAUCGUCUCUGAGAUAAUCAAUUCUCCAGAUUAUUCUUGAGUAAAUUGUUGUUGUUAUCAAUCGUUGAUUCUGUUUUUAUGUAUCUCUGAUUUAAACUUGCAUGAAAAUUCAGUGAAAUUCAUAUGAUC
rnacentral:lncRNA from 1 species